rnacentral:rRNA from 1 species
AUACGGAGGAUCCGAGCGUUAUCCGGAUUUAUUGGGUUUAAAGGGUGCGCAGGCGGGAGAUUAAGUCGGCGGUGAAAUUUUGCAGCUCAACUGUAAAAGUGCCUUCGAAACUGGUUUCCUUGAGUGUAGAUGAAGUAGGCGGAAUUUGUGGUGUAGCGGUGAAAUGCAUAGAUAUCACGAGGAACUACGAUUGCGCAGGCAGCUUACUAAACUACUACUGACGCUCAGGCACGAAGGCGUGGGGAUCAAACAGGAUUAGAUACCCUGGUAGUCCACGCAGUAAACGAUGAUUACUAGCUGUUUGCGAUACAAUGUAAGCGGCUGAGCGAAAGCGUUAAGUAAUCCACCUGGGGAGUACGUUCGCAAGAAUGAAACUCAAAGGAAUUGACGGGG